CUGGCCUACGGGACGCAGCAGUGGGGAAUAUUGCACAAUGGGGGAAACCCUGAUGCAGCGACGCCGCGUGAGUGAAGAAGUAUCUCGGUACGUAAAGCCCUAUCAGCAGGGAAGAACAAUGACGGUACCUGACUAAGAAGCACCGGCUAAAUACGUGCCAGCAGCCGCGGUAAUACGUAUGGUGCAAGCGUUAUCCGGAUUUACUGGGUGUAAAGGGAGCGCAGGCGGCGCGUUAAGCCUGGUGUGAAAGCCCGCGGCCCAGCCGCGGGACUGCAUUGGGAACUGGCGCGCUGGAGUGCCGGAGG
rnacentral:rRNA from 1 species